UGGGGAAUAUUGGACAAUGGGGGAAACCCUGAUCCAGCAAUGCCGCGUGAGUGAUGAAGGCCUUCGGGUUGUAAAGCUCUUUUAUUAGGGAAGAUAAUGACGGUACCUAAUGAAUAAGCUCCGGCUAACUUCGUGCCAGCAGCCGCGGUAAUACGAGGGGAGCUAGCGUUGUUCGGAAUUACUGGGCGUAAAGGGCGCGUAGGCGGUAUCAUAAGUCAGAUGUGAAAGCCCCAGGCUUAACCUGGGAGGUGCAUUUGAUACUAUGAAACUAGAGAUCGAGAGAGGAAAGUGGAAUUACGAGUGUAGAGGUGAAAUUCGUAGAUAUUCGUAAGAACACCAGUGGCGAAGGCGACUUUCUGGCUCGAUACUGACGCUAAGGCGCGAAAGCGUGGGGAGCAAACAG
rnacentral:rRNA from 1 species